rnacentral:tRNA from 1 species
UCCUCCGUGGCCCAGCUGGCUAAGGCGUCCGGCUGUUAGUUCAAAAUCUGCAACCGGAAGAUCGACAGUUCGAUCCUGUCCGGGGGAG